UGCAAAACCCGCACAAGCGCCUCACGCUCAGCGGCAUCUGCGCCUUCAUUAGUGGCCGCUUCCCCUACUACCGCCGCAAGUUCCCCGCCUGGCAGAACAGCAUCCGCCACAACCUCUCGCUGAACGACUGCUUCGUUAAGAUCCCCCGCGAGCCGGGCCACCCAGGCAAGGGCAACUACUGGAGCCUGGACCCCGCCUCCCAAGACAUG
rnacentral:lncRNA from 1 species